AGUCAAUUUAGUUUAAGUAAAAUGUUAUUUUGUGGAAAUAGAGAAAUCAGUAGUUAAUUGAUUU
rnacentral:tRNA from 2 species